rnacentral:rRNA from 1 species
CCAAACUGUUGCCUCGGCGGGAAUUCUGCCCCGGGCGCGUCGCAGCCCCGGACCAAGGCGCCCGCCGGAGGACCAACCAAAACUCUUUUGUAUACCCCCUCGCGGGUUUUUUAUAUCUGAGCCUUCUCGGCGCCCCUAGUGGGCGUUUCGAAAAUGAAUCAAAACUUUCAACAACGGAUCUCUUGGUUCUGGCAUCGAUGAAGAACGCAGCGAAAUGCGAUAAGUAAUGUGAAUUGCAGAAUUCAGUGAAUCAUCGAAUCUUUGAACGCACAUUGCGCCCGCCAGUAUUCUGGCGGGCAUGCCUGUCCGAGCGUCAUUUCAACCCUCGAACCCCUCCGGGGGUCCGGCGUUGGGGAUCGGCCCUUAACCGGCCGGCCCCGAAAUACAGUGGCGGCCUCGCCGCAGCCUCUCAUGCGCAGUAGUUUGCACACUCGCACCGGGAGCGCGGCGCGGCCACAGCCGUAAAACAAACCAAACUCUGAAAUGUUGACCUCGGAUCAGGUAGGAAUACCCGCUGAACUUAAGCAUAUCAAUAAGCGGAGGAA